UUAAUUUUUUGCUUGGAAUUAUUGGGAUUUAUUAUUUUCGUUUUGCUUUAAAAAAUGAAGAGAUAUAAUGACUAAAUAUUCUGCAACUUACUACAGGCGCAAAAAAAAACUUGCAAUGGAAAUAAAAAUGGCUGCAACUAGUUUACUUGAAGUUGAUAUGGAUUAUAUAGAAUCAAGGGAAGUGGCUGAAGAUAGCAGUGAAAAGGUUAGGUCCAUCCGUUCUUUCUCUUGCUUCAGGCCAACCAGGGACAACGACAGCGGGUUUCUUAUGUAACCAAUAAAAAAAAUUACCGUCAAAGUGGGUGAUUUGAAAUCAGAAGGUGAAGUGGAAAAAUUUACGCGGUCGGACGGAUAUUUAAGUUAUCACCUAAAUGCACGGGAGCAUGCUGCAUAGGCAAUGCCGCGCAUUUGACUUUGGUACAGGUUUACUUUAUUGGCAAAAAUAGGUAAAGACCUGAACGUCCCUAAAGAUAUGAAAGUGGAUUCUAUGGAAAUUUUUAACCUGAUCAAGGAAUGAGUAAUCAGUUUAAAGUAUACUGGAAACUCCUUCCAUUGGUUCCCUUGUACCCAUUUUCUAACCCUCACUCCCAACUUCCCAUACCUUUACUCUCCUUUUUCCUUCCUGUUAUUACCCAUCCGUCCAUUUAAAUUUCAUUUAAUCCAAGUAUAAUUAAAGCAAUAUUAAAGUAAUAAAUUUUUAUUGAUUAAUUAUAAUUAUUUAAUUCUU